CAGUAGCCACGGUAAUACGAAGGGGGCUAGCGUUGUUCGGAAUUACUGGGCGUAAAGCGCACGUAGGCGGAUCGAUCAGUCAGGGGUGAAAUCCCAGGGCUCAACCCUGGAACUGCCUUUGAUACUGUCGAUCUGGAGUAUGGAAGAGGUGAGUGGAAUUCCGAGUGUAGAGGUGAAAUUCGUAGAUAUUCGGAGGAACACCAGUGGCGAAGGCGGCUCACUGGUCCAUUACUGACGCUGAGGUGCGAAAGCGUGGGGAGCAAACAGGAUUAGAUACCCCCGUAGUCCCUGUCUCUUAUAC
rnacentral:rRNA from 1 species